GGAUGUGGCUUAGUGGUAGAGUGCUUACCUAGCAUGUGCAAGGCCCUAGGUUCAAUCCCCAGCACCA
rnacentral:tRNA from 1 species